AUGUUCCUCCCCGCGGACGGCUCAGCGGGAAGAAUCAUCUCUGCAAUCAACCCCAACCAGCUCACCCUAGUCUCCUUCAUUCACCAUACCUUUGCCACUUCUUUAAAACUCUGCUCGCACACUCACCCCUCACAUUUUUUCAUCACUAAUGUUUACGCCCCCUCCCACCGCUCCCUCAAACAGGCCUUCCUCGACGAGCUCAAACAAAUCAAAGAGGAUGAUCUUACGCCAUGGCUCAUUGUCGGAGACUUCAACCUGCUUAGGUUCUCACACGAAAAAAUAACCCAAACUUCCACCAACGAGAAGCCAAUGCUCUCAACUCUCUGCUUAAUGACUUGGCCGUGA
rnacentral:rRNA from 1 species